UGGGGGCAGCGGGGGGCACAGCACAAGGUCGAAGUAAAUUGCAGGAAAUAGUAAAAUUAGUCAGUUCCAUUCUCUGCAGUAUCCAAGACAUCUUCAAAGAGCUGGGCAUUAAGAAGGUGGGGUCCAUCAUUAAGGACCCCCAGCACGCAGGGCAUGCCCAUUUUUCACUGUUACCAUCAGGUAGGAGGUACAGGAGCCUGAAGGCACACACUCAGUGAUUCAAGAACAGCUUCUUCUCCUCUGCCAUCUGAUUUCUAAAUGGACAUUGAAGCCAUGAACACUCCCUCACUAAUUCAUUUCUGGGUUUUUGCACUACUUAUUUUUAAACUUAACUAUUUAAUAGUCAUCAGCAUUUUUUCUCUAUAUUUACUUAUCACGUAUUUAAUUGUUCUGCUGCUGUAAAGUUAAUGAAUUUCAUGAUAUAUGCUGGUGAUAUUAAACCUGAUUCUGGUUCUGAUUUUGUAAGAUCCACAUCCAGCCAGUCCUAGUCCCCAGAUUAUUCUCCAUAACCUUCUCUCUUCCCUUCUCCCUCAUAUUUCAACAGAGGCGUCCAAGAUGAUAGAAGGACUAGGUCACGUGGGCACCCAGAGGCUUUUUACCGGGGCAGUAAUGGCCAAUGAGAGGAUCACGUGGGAGUGUAGCGGUUAGCAUAACGCUAACACCAUCCCAGCAACCCGGGUUCAAUUCCCAGCAGAGACUGUACCGUCUCCCCAUGACAGUAUGGGUUUCCUCCGCCUGCAGGUUAACCGGUCACGUGGUAAGGGCUUGUUACCGUGCUAUAGCUCUAAAUAAAAAUGCAAAAAAGUAAUAAUCUUAAGGUGAUUGGAGGAAAGUAUAAGGGAAAACGUCAGAGCUAGCUUUUUUUAAAACACAGAGAAUGGUGGGCGUGUGGAAAGUGCUGUCAGGUGUGAUGGUGGAGGCAGGCCAGUAGGAACAUUGAAGAAACGUUCAGAGAGGCACACGGGCGACAGGAAAACGGAGGGCUGCGUAGGAGGGAAGGGUUAGAUCGAUCUAAUGUCAGGCUAAAAGUCAGACUGGGUGUAUAAAAUGGAGGAAGACCCUCGGGUGGAAGAGAUGUGGGAGAACAAAGGACCCUACGGAAAAUCCUGGCAAUUCUGGACAAUGUUUCUCACCCCCUGCAGGCCACCUUGGCUGAACAGAGGAGCACUUUUAGUAAUAGACCAAGACAACCGCGCUGUUCCAAAGACCGCUAUCUGAGGUCUUUUUAACCCUCGGCCAUUAGGCUCUAUAAAGAGUGAACCAUAGACGGGGAAACACUGACACCCUCCUGUUACAAUGUUUGAGGGAAUAGACACCUAGUCUGCUCUGCCAGAAGACUGCUUGAACAGGCAAGUUAUAAAUACUCUGAGAACUGAAUCAGGAUGUAUAUCCCUGCUGAAGGUUUCCACUGAAACGUGCUUUGAGACUGAGUGGGUACCUACAUGGCCAGGCAGCAUCUAUAGGGAGAAGCGCUGUCGACGUUUCGAGCCGAGACCCUUCGUCAGGACUAACCUUUCUGUGUGCCUGGCCUGCUGUGUUCUACCAGCAUUUUGUGUGUGUUGUUGUUUGAAUUUCCAGCAUCUGCUGCAGAUUUCCUCGUGGGUACCUACGUGGUUGCAUUUCUUUGAAAAACUGAUUAUGAAGGGCGGGCCAGCAUUUUUGAUCUGAGCAGCUGUGAUAAAUGCAUUUUCAUUUCCAGCUUUUCUGUGCUCAUGAAUUGUGAGGGGUAAUAGGGAGGGUAAAUACAAGCAGGCUUUUUUUCCCCACUGAGGCUGAGAGAGACUAGAACCGGGGGCCAUAGGCUAAGAGCGAAAGGUGAAAUAUUUAAGGAGAAGCCUCUUCACUCAGAGUGUGGGAUGAGCCUCCGGCAGAAUUAGUAGAUGCGGGGUUGAUUUAAAACUUGAAGAGAAGUUUGGAUAGGUACAUGGAUGGGAGAGGCAUGGAGGGCUGUGGUGCAGGUGGGGGUUGAUGUGACUUGGCAGGAUAACAGUUUGGCACAGACUAGAUGGGCUGAAGGGCCUCUUUCUGUGCUGUAGUACUCCAUGACUGUGAGCCUAAAUAGUUGGACACAUUCAAGGAAUGAGAGUGAAGCCGACGGAUUCUGCCUUUUGCGAUGCGUGGAGGGGGGGGGUAAGAACUGAUAGCGUGAACCAGCUUCUCCUAGUAGCUUGCAGGAUGCAGACCUCACGAGCAAGGGCAAGAAGCAUCAUUGAUCCCCGAAUGCUGCACCACUUUAUAGGGCAAUUAACAGCCAGCCAGUUGGCCUGGAGUCUAUAAAGCCCAGACAGGGAACAGAUGGUCUCUGCAGACCAUCACUCAACAGGGUGAGUUCUGAAGACAGCCUAGCCUUCCUGACACUAGCUCUUUUUAAAUUCCAGAUUAAUUUAGUUAUUGGAAUUUAAACCUUGGAAUCUGAACUCAUACGUCUGGGUACUAACAUCUAUCACUGUGUCAUCAGGUCCGUUCCACUGGGCUGAAUAAACUGUGGUCUAUAGCACUAGAUAUAUACUAUGCAGAUCUAUAGUAUUUCCUAUACUCCAUAUAGAAUGGGCUGCAAAUCAUAUUUCACAUAAUAUGGCUUGUGAAUGUAUGUCAUAUAGACUGCAGCCUCAGUGUUUCUUUAUACCGUCAGCAAUGCUACACAGAAACAGGCCAUUCGGGACAUCUAGUCCAUGCUGAGCAGUUAUUCUGCCUUGCCCCCUCAACCUGGCCCUAGACCAUAGCCCUACAAAUAACCAAAUGUGCAUGUGCAACUUCAAUGUAGCGUGCACUACGUAUUUACAGGUAGAAAGGGCUGUAAACCAAGCUUCUCUCUGCAAUCGGUGGUAGGCAGCAUACUUGAACAGAAUAAAAGAAAAGUUACUUCCCCAAAGCCAUCAGGCUGAUCAACGCGCCCACCCAUUAACCCCCUCUGUCAGUCACCUUAUGUACAGAAUCUCCUGCACCUAAUGUCACUUCAUGCGCAUGAAAGCUAUGUACUACAUACAAGCAAAUCUUAUGUAUAAUAAACCCACACUUACUUCUACAUUGUUUUAUAUAAAAUUUUUCUCUUUUUUUUAUUGUGCUUAUCGAGAUUUUUCAUCAGAUCAUUUUGUUCUCCUUAAUCGCCAUGAACUGAACAAUGUGGCAACAAACAGU